rnacentral:rRNA from 1 species
GUUUGAUCUGGCUUAGGAUUAACGCUGGCGGCGUGCAUAACACAUUCAAGUCGAACGGAGGGUAGCGAUACCCUUAGUGGCGGACGGGUGAGUAACGCGUGAGCAACCUGCCUUUCAUUUUGGGAUAGCCUCGGGAAACUGAGGAUAAUACCGAAUAACACGGUCGAGCCGCAUGGUUUGGCCGUCGAAGGAGAAAUCCGAUGAAAGAUGGGCUCGCGUCCGAUUAGGUAGUUGGUGGGGUAACGGCUCACCAAGCCGACGAUCGGUAGCCGGACUGAGAGGUCGAACGGCCACAUUGGAACUGAGAAACGGUCCAGACUCCUACGGGAGGCAGCAGUGGGGAAUAUUGGGCAAUGGAGGAAACUCUGACCCAGCGACGCCGCGUGAAGGAAGAAGGUCUUCGGAUUGUAAACUUUAAAUGACGGGGACGAAACAAAUGACGGUACCCGUUGGGAAGCCACGGCUAACUACGUGCCAGCAGCCGCGGUAAUACGUAGGUGGCGAGCGUUAUCCGGAUUUAUUGGGCGUAAAGGGUGCGUAGGCGGGGAGGCAAGUCAGGAGUGAAAAUUACGGGCUCAACCCGUAACCUGCUUUUGAAACUGUCUUUCUUGAGUGUCGGAGGGGUGAAUGGAAUUCCCGGUGUAGCGGUAAAAUGCGUAGAUAUCGGGAGGAACACCGGUGGCGAAGGCGAUUCACUGGACGACAACUGACGCUGAGGCACGAAAGUGUGGGUAGCAAACAGGAUUAGAUACCCUGGUAGUCCACACUGUAAACGAUGAAUGCUAGGUGUGGGAGGAGCAAUCCUUCCGUGCCGCAGUUAACACAAUAAGCAUUCCGCCUGGGGAGUACGGCCGCAAGGUUGAAACUCAAAGGAAUUGACGGGAGCCCGCACAAGCAGUGGAGUAUGUGGUUUAAUUCGACGCAACGCGAAGAACCUUACCGGAGCUUGACAUCCUAAGAAGACCGCCGUAACGGCGGUUGUGCCCGCAAGGGAACUUAGAGACAGGUGGUGCAUGGUUGUCGUCAGCUCGUGUCGUGAGAUGUUGGGUUAAGUCCCGCAACGAGCGCAACCCUUACGUUUAGUUGCUACGAAAGAGCACUCUAAACGGACUGCCGUUGAUAAAACGGAGGAAGGUGGGGACGACGUCAAAUCAUCAUGCCCCUUACGCCCCGGGCCACACACGUACUACAAUGGCGAGAACAACGGGAAGCGAAGCCGCGAGGCGGAGCAAACCCCCAAAAAUCGUCCAAGUUCAGAUUGCAGGCUGCAACUCGCCUGCAUGAAGCCGGAAUUGCUAGUAAUCGCGAAUCAGCAUGUCGCGGUGAAUACGUUCCCGGGCUUUGUACACACCGCCCGUC